rnacentral:rRNA from 1 species
AACGAACGCUGGCGGCGUGCCUAACACAUGCAAGUCGAACGAGAAAGGGGCUUCGGCUCCGAGUAAAGUGGCGCACGGAUGAGUAACACGUGGGUAACCUGCCUCUAAGAUUGGGAUAACUCGUCGAAAGAUGAGCUAAUACCGAAUAAGACCACAGUUCCCGCGGGAACAGGGGUCAAAGGUAGCCUCUGCUUGCAAGCUAUCACUUAGAGAUGGGCCUGCGCACCAUUAGCUAGUUGGUAGGGUAACGGCCUACCAAGGCAAAGAUGGUUAGCUGGUCGGAGAGGAUGAUCAGCCACACUGGAACUGAGACACGGUCCAGACUCCUACGGGAGGCAGCAGUGGGGAAUAUUGCGCAAUGGGCGAAAGCUUGACGCAGCAACGCCGCGUGAGUGAUGAAGGCCUUCGGGUCGUAAAGCUCUGUCGGGAGGAACGAAUGCUCCUGAGGUUAACAGCCUCGGGAGGUGACGGUACCUUCAAAGGAAGCACCGGCUAACUCUGUG